rnacentral:rRNA from 1 species
UACGAGGGGGGCAAAUGUUGUUCGGAAUCACUGGGCGUAAAGGGAGCGUAGGCGGGUUCUUAAGUUAGGUGUUUAAUCCCGGGACCCAACCCCGGACCGGCACUUAAAACUGGGAAUCUUGAAUAGUGGAGAGGUCAGUGGAAUUGGAGGUGUAGCGGUGGAAUGCGUAGAGAUCUCCAAGAACACCAGUUGCGAAGGCGGCUGACUGGACACAUAUUGACGCUGAGGCUCGAAAGCAUGGGGAGCAAACAGG